UAUGAUUUGGUGUAAGAGCACAACGAAUUUUGAAUUCGUUAGAAAUAGUUUAAUUCUAUUAAACAUAG
rnacentral:tRNA from 1 species